AUUGAACGCUGGCGGCAGGCCUAACACAUGCAAGUCGAGCGGAUGAAGGGAGCUUGCUCCUGGAUUCAGCGGCGGACGGGUGAGUAAUGCCUAGGAAUCUGCCUGGUAGUGGGGGAUAACGUCCGGAAACGGGCGCUAAUACCGCAUACGUCCUGAGGGAGAAAGUGGGGGAUCUUCGGACCUCACGCUAUCAGAUGAGCCUAGGUCGGAUUAGCUAGUUGGUGGGGUAAAGGCCUACCAAGGCGACGAUCCGUAACUGGUCUGAGAGGAUGAUCAGUCACACUGGAACUGAGACACGGUCCAGACUACUACGGGAGGCAGCAGUGGGGAAUAUUGGACAAUGGGCGAAAGCCUGAUCCAGCCAUGCCGCGUGUGUGAAGAAGGUCUUCGGAUUGUAAAGCACUUUAAGUUGGGAGGAAGGGCAGUAAGUUAAUACCUUGCUGUUUUGACGUUACCAACGGAAUAAGCACCGGCUAACUUCGUG
rnacentral:rRNA from 1 species